rnacentral:misc_RNA from 1 species
GAUGAAGAACGUAGCGAAAUGCGAUACGUAAUGUGAAUUGCAGAAUUCAGUGAAUCAUCGAGUCUUUGAACGCACAUUGCGCCCCCUGGUAUUCCGGGGGGCAUGCCUGUCCGAGCGUCAUUGCUGCCCUCAAGCACGGCUUGUGUGUUGGGCCUCCGUCCCCCCCUCCCGGGGGACGGGCCCGAAAGGCAGCGGCGGCACCGCGUCCGGUCCUCGAGCGUAUGGGGCUUUGUCACCCGCUCUGUAGGCCCGGCCGGCGCCUGCCGACCACCAUCAAUCUUUUUUCAGGUUGACCUCGGAUCAGGUAGGGAUACCCGCUGAACUUAAGCAUAUCAAUAAGCGGAGGA